CCACAUGCUGUACUUCAUGCUUUAACACCAGACCAUGCAUUGGCUAGUCGGCAAAAAACAAGAACAUUUCUGUCCACAAACUGUGUCAGCUUUGUGUAAUAACUAGGGCUACAUACAUCCACAUUAAUCUUGAUAAUCCAUUCAUAGUUUUUUUAGCACAGUAGCAUACAUUUGAAGAUGUAGUGUGUUUAUACUUUGGACAGGAAAAGUAUUGUUAUAGAUGAGGCAUUUGUUUAGUCAUGUGACACAAGUACACUCAAAAAAAUAAAAAGUUGGAUUUACUUAAAGAGCACCUAUUAUGGGAUACACGUUUUUAAACAUCCUUUUGUGUGUAAGUGUGCAUUAGUACAUGCUAACGAUAUUCAAAAAGUACAUACCUCAAAGAAAACGAUGACGCGAGUUAUCGUCUCUAACGUUUGAGGACUACAAAAAACACUCGGAUUGUAGGCAACAGUUUACUUCCUGGGAUUAGUGACGUAGAUAAGACCAACAUUAUCAUAGUUCAGCCCUCUCUGCUUUGCUUGGGUACGCCCUCAAAGACGGGGGUGGGGAGCGCCGAGUCAGAAGAGAGCUAAAAUGGCGGAGGUUGUGAGUCCCUGCUUUGACUCUGUUUGCAUUGCAAACUCUUGUUUCAUUGUUUAAGCGAUUAAAUCUCUCGAGUAGACGCUGUCUCUUUAGAUGCGAGGGCAAAAUAGCACUUUAUGGACUUCCACAGAGGACAUCAUGUUUAAUACGGUUCCGGAAAAAUCCAGUCAGAAGUUGUUCACGGAGUUUUCACAAUAACUGCUUCUCAUGAACCGAAGCUGGAUUUGCACGACGUCUCCUCUUGAAAGUUGGAUUACUGUGCACUUCUGGAUCACAGGCUAUUCGCAGCUGUACACAUCCUUCUACACUGUAUGCAAACAUGCAACAUCAUUACACACAGUACAAGGAGUCAGACUGGCAUAUGAGGAGCAAAGGAACCCAGGCAGUAGCACCGUUUCACAAUGUUUCCAUCACCAUCAUCAGUGGAUGCCUUUGCCGUCCGUAGCCUGAGAUUUCAGAUUUGCAGCAAAAAAUUUUUGAUUUUCUCAUUUAUUGGAAUGCUGUGCAGGUAUUUGUACCUUGCAGCCAUCCAUUACAAUGUCACCAAGCCGUAACAAAAGCAGGAGAGGGAAAGUACAAGGCUAUGUUCCCAAAACACACAAGUGACAUACCUUAUGUGGAUGAUGUGAUCAGGCUUGUGUUUGAUGAGGUAUUUGAAGAUAAGCUGAAGGAAACCCCGAUUCCAAUGGACCUGGCAUCACAGUUUGAGAGACCUUCAAAUGAGGACGUGAUUGCAUGCCAUCUUCAGUGCAGGGGUCGUCGAAAGCCAAAAUUGUGACCGAUCUGAUCAGGAAGCUCCAAGCGUAUCUGGAGAACAACACACGACAGGAUGAUAACCUUAUAGUGUCGUCUUAGAUAGCAUCAGCUGACAAAGCUUUGA